AAAAGGUGGCUAUGCUACCGCUUUUGGAUGGGCCCGCGGCGCAUUAGCUAGUUGGUGGGGUAAAGGCUUACCAAGGCAAUGAUGCGUAGCCGAACUGAGAGGUUGAUCGGCCACAUUGGGACUGAGACACGGCCCAAACUCCUACGGGAGGCAGCAGUAGGGAAUCUUCCACAAUGGGCGAAAGCCUGAUGGAGCAACGCCGCGUGGGUGAAGAAGGUCUUCGGAUCGUAAAACCCUGUUGUUAGAGAAGAAAGUGCGUGAGAGUAACUGUUCACGUUUCGACGGUAUCUAACCAGAAAGCCACGGCUAACUACGUGCCAGCAGCCGCGGUAAUACGUAGGUGGCAAGCGUUAUCCGGAUUUAUUGGGCGUAAAGGGAACGCAGGCGGUCUUUUAAGUCUGAUGUGAAAGCCUUCGGCUUAACCGGAGUAGUGCAUUGGAAACUGGGAGACUUGAGUGCAGAAGAGGAGAGUGGAACUCCAUGUGUAGCGGUGAAACGCGUAGAUAUAUGGAAGAACACCAGUGGCGAAAGCGGCUCUCUGGUCUGUAACUGACGCUGAGGUUCGAAAGCGUGGGUAGCAAACAGGAUUAGAUACCCUGGUAGUCCACGCCGUAAACGAUGAAUGCUAAGUGUUGGAGGGUUUCCGCCCUUCA
rnacentral:rRNA from 1 species